rnacentral:rRNA from 1 species
UACGAAGGGUGCAAGCGUUGCUCGGAAUUAUUGGGCGUAAAGGGUAGGUAGGUGGUAAUAAAAGUCUGGGGUGAAAUCCCUGAGCUCAACUCAGGACGUGCCUUGGAAACUUUAUUACUAGAGUGCUGGAGAGGUUCGCAGAAUUCCCGGUGUAGCGGUGAAAUGCGUAGAGAUCGGGAGGAAUACCAGAGGCGAAGACGGCGAACUGGACAGUAACUGACACUCAACUACGAAAGCGUGGGUAGCAAACAGG